GACGAACGCUGGCGGCGUGCCUAAUACAUGCAAGUAGAACGCUGAAGAGAGGAGCUUACUCUUCUUGGAUGAGUUGCGAACGGGUGAGUAACGCGUAGGUAACCUGCCUUGUAGCGGGGGAUAACUAUUGGAAACGAUAGCUAAUACCGCAUAACAAUGGAUGACACAUGUCAUUUAUUUGAAAGGGGCAAUUGCUCCACUACAAGAUGGACCUGCGUUGUAUUAGCUAGUAGGUGAGGUAAUGGCUCACCUAGGCGACGAUACAUAGCCGACCUGAGAGGGUGAUCGGCCACACUGGGACUGAGACACGGCCCAGACUCCUACGGGAGGCAGCAGUAGGGAAUCUUCGGCAAUGGGGGCAACCCUGACCGAGCAACGCCGCGUGAGUGAAGAAGGUUUUCGGAUCGUAAAGCUCUGUUGUAAGUCAAGAACGGGCGUGAGAGUGGAAAGUUCACACUGUGACGGUAGCUUACCAGAAAGGGACGGCUAACUACGUG
rnacentral:rRNA from 1 species